rnacentral:rRNA from 1 species
UACGGGGGGAGCAAGCGUUGUUCGGAAUUACUGGGCGUAAAGGGUUUGUAGGUGGCCUGCUAAGUCAGACGUGAAAUCCCUCAGCUUAACUGGGGAACUGCGUCUGAGACUGGUCAGGCUCGAGGACAGGAGAGGACGCGGAAUUCCAGGUGUAGCGGUGAAAUGCGUAGAUAUCUGGAGGAACACCAAUGGCGAAGGCAGCACUCUGGGACGGUACUGACGCUGAGACGCGAAAGCGUGGGGAGCAAACAGG